rnacentral:rRNA from 1 species
GACGGAGGGUGCAAGCGUUGUUCGGAAUUACUGGGCGUAAAGCGCACGUAGGCGGACUCUUAAGUCAGGGGUGAAAUCCUGGAGCUCAACUCCAGAACUGCCUUUGAUACUGGGAGUCUUGAGUUCGGGAGAGGUGAGUGGAACUGCGAGUGUAGAGGUGAAAUUCGUAGAUAUUCGCAAGAACACCAGUGGCGAAGGCGGCUCACUGGCUCGUAACUGACGCUCAGGCGCGAUAGCGUGGGGAUCAAACAGG